GCGCUAAUGGUGUAGUGGUAACAUUUGAGCUUCCCAAGCUUAAGCCCGGGGUUCGAUUCCCCGUUAGCGCA